rnacentral:lncRNA from 1 species
AUGCGUCGGUCAACGGUGCACACUGGCGUUUCAGCGUUGGUGGGAAAGACUGCGCGACAUUUUUUGCACCACCGUAAAGCGAGAGCUGUUACUUCCGUUUGCAACUUUCAAAUUAAAAACGCACCCACGAAAAGACUCAGUUACACCUUUUAUUUUGAAGGCAGAAUAAACGACACAUUACUCUCUCUCGCACUCUUGACAACUAUUUCUAGUGGAACCCAGCCACCGCGCGUCUGGUGCGACGGGGUCGUUAAAUCUCAGCUAUGGUUUUACUUUACACUGCGAACACAUGCGCCUGCAAACCUCCACUGCUUGACACCCCAACACCUCCGAGGAGGACGUGCAGACAGAACUGUCCGUCAGGGUCUCACAGACAAACGGGUGACUGAGAGGCACUGGCGAGUUAUGAUAGCUGAUGGUCAGCUGACUAGGCCCCUAGUGGACAGCACCUCCUCUCCUCAUCCUCAUCCUCCAAGCCCUCUGGUCUGUCAGCAGUUCGCUCACUGUCCAAGUCACAAGUCCAUUCUCAGCACACACUGACAACAUGCUGGGGACCCUCUGCUCUCUCGUCGCUGCUCUAACAUGUGUGGGUGGUGUGACAGUGCUGACACAGAAGCCGACUGUUGUGACGGCGAGGACGGGAGAGACAGCCACCAUGGACUGUAACCUGGGGACUGUGACUGCCAGUGCUGCUCGCUGGUACAAACAGAUUCCAGGAGCAGUCCCUCAGUUUGUACUGAGGUUUUAUCGUACUAAUAGUUCUCCAACCUAUGGUUCUGGAUUCUCCUCUCCCACAUUCACAUCUACUCAUCAGUCGACAUCAGAUUACCGUUUGAUCAUAAACACUGUGCAGGAGGGAGACUCUGCUGUCUACUACUGUAGCACAUGGGACGGCACAGUUAAUCAGUGGGUAUCACGGUGAUUUACGCUGUGACAAAAACCUCCUCACUAAAUACUUCCGCUUUUUUUCCUGCUGACACAUGCUGACUGGGUGUGAAGCCAUCAAGGAACCUCUGAUAUA